GACGAACGCUGGCGGCGUGCUUAACACAUGCAAGUCGAACGGAAAGGCCCUGCUUUUGUGGGGUGCUCGAGUGGCGAAUGGGUGAGUAACACGUGAGUAACCUGCCCUUGACUUUGGGAUAACUUCAGGAAACUGGGGCUAAUACCGGAUAGGAGCUCCUGCUGCAUGGUGGGGGUUGGAAAGUUUCGGCGGUUGGGGAUGGACUCGCGGCUUAUCAGCUUGUUGGUGGGGUAGUGGCUUACCAAGGCUUUGACGGGUAGCCGGCCUGAGAGGGUGACCGGCCACAUUGGGACUGAGAUACGGCCCAGACUCCCACGGGAGGCAGCAGUGGGGAAUAUUGCACAAUGGGCGGAAGCCUGAUGCAGCAACGCCGCGUGCGGGAUGACGGCCUUCGGGUUGUAAACCGCUUUCGCCUGUGACGAAGCGUGAGUGACGGUAAUGGGUAAAGAAGCACCGGCUAACUACGUG
rnacentral:rRNA from 1 species